UAGGCUGUGUUGGUUGGUUCUUUGAGAGUGUGGUUGGGCGAAUCCUCGAUUCAGGUUGCCGGUUAAAGACGGUGGUUGGCUUCGAGUUUUAUUUAUCAGGUUGCACUAGUUAUCGCUGCUUGCAGCAAGUUAUCCGGCUGUUCUUCAGCUAGUUAUCGGUGUUCAUCCUACGCCGUGAAGAUCGGGACAACGUGACGCAUCAUCUGGUAUCAAAGCUUUCAUUACCACGGUAGGAAUUUUAUCCCUAGCUACAUAUAUAUUUUGCUUCGUCCUAUCCACCAAAAAGCCAGAAAAAUAUAUUGCUUAGACCUUUGUUUCAUUCUGUUGGUUUAGUGAGUUCAGUUAAGUCGCAGUCCAUUAGAGUCUUUGUUUUAGUUGUUGAUCAUUUAUCGUUCGCGUGUUCUUUGUGCCACUUUUAUAUCUAAAAAUCCCCAAAAAAAAUCUCUAUAGCCUAUAUCAUCCUUUGUGUUAACUUUGAUCCUAUCUAGCUACUGGUUGUUGUUUUAUUUCUGUCUUUAGUUGUGCAAGUAUCAUAAUCUGAUCCCUGUUUUUAGUUUUAUAUAUAAAAAAAGUGUGUCAAAAAAAAAGAAACGAAAGUGCAAAAAAAAAGUGAAGUGAAAACAAGUUGAGAAAGGUUCAGAGAGAAAGUCCGAAAGAUUAUUUGGUUUAUGUGCACAAGUGCUGAAAGUUUCAUAUCAAGUUCUGCAACCAGUUUGCUAUCUUUGUUUGGUGCAAAACUUUGGUUGGGUUUGAUUGCAACACUUGCAUCCCAAUCAUACUCCUUGUUUGCAUCAAUUCUGAAAUUUCUUUGCGUGUGUGCGAUCUAUUUAUACACUUUGAAUCUUUUGAUCAGCACUAGGCAUAGAACUUCUAGUUUGGAUCGUUACUUAACUUUACAAUAACUAGAAUUCAGAUUGCAUUCCUUGUGUAUUACUCCCCACCAAGCUCCACAUAAAAACCAUUGUAAUCGAUACUCUCUGUUCUUGUAUUCGCCUUGCCAUCACUUUCAGUUGCCACCACACAUUUGUUUUCCUUGUAAUCUGCACCAGAGAAAUUCAUAAGAGCUUUGGUGGUUAGAGAGGUGAGUUGUGAGAGCCACCAAAUUUUCAUAUUCCACAAAUACAAAUUAUAUGUAUUCAGCUAACCUUACAGGAAGAUGGGUCAAGUGGACAGCA
rnacentral:lncRNA from 1 species